rnacentral:tRNA from 1 species
GCGGCGAUAGCUCAGUGAGUAAGCACCAGGUGCGGGUUCGAAUCCCGCCUGUGGCA